rnacentral:rRNA from 1 species
UACGUAGGUGGCGAGCGUUGUCCGGAUUUACUGGGCGUAAAGCGCGCGCAGGCGGCAGUCUAAGUCCUCUGUGAAAUCACCCGGCUCAACUGGGUGGCUGCGGAGGAGACUGGGCAGCUUGAGGGGCCUAGAGGCCGGUGGAACUCCCGGUGUAGUGGUGAAAUGCGUAGAGAUCGGGAAGAACACCAGUGGCGAAGGCGGCCGGCUGGGGGCGAACUGACGCUGAGGCGCGAGAGCGUGGGGAGCAAACCGG